GCACCUUGGAAGAAGAAAUCCACAGGAGGAAAAAAAGAGAAAAUUCUCAAACUACAGGAAGUGGAGAGAACAGUACAGUGACCCUACACGCUUGUUACCAGCCUCACCUGUCACCCACAUGGAGUCCUUCCCAUUUGUGGGGUUUCCAGGAUUUGCUGAGCACCUACUAUGCAUCAGACGCUGUGUUCUAGGCAAGGGGGAUACACCUGAUGGAAGAAGGUCCUUCCCUAGACGUAGCUAACAUCCCAGUGUGGGAGAUGACACGAAACGGCAAACUCCCCACAACAGCCUCCUCAACGCUGCCUCCCACAGUGCUUGGACAAAAUAAUUACAGCAAGAUGCGGGC
rnacentral:lncRNA from 10 species